ACGCCAACGAGGUGCCCUGUCUCCUAGGUAGAGAAAGGCCCCGUUGAGUUCUGCUUUGCCGUGCCUACGUAGUGCGGGGUUCCUGCAAGGUUUCUUUCCUAAAGAAUCCUGUUGGACACACAUUCUCAGGAGAAGGAAUUUGAAAACCUUUUCAAGAAAACUGGGAUGCCCAUUAAGAAGGUAUGACAAACGGAACGCUGCGUUCUUUUACUUACUUUUCUGAGGGUUUUAACAACGCCCCGUCCUUGGUCCAUGUAUAGGUGGCC